UUUUGUGAGGCUCAGGCCUAUGUGACCUUUGGGGCUUGCCAGCUCCCUCAACCUCCUCUCCUCAUCCCCCUAUGGUCACACAAACUCAGAAACUUCAACCAGCUUUGUGUGAUUGAUCAGCCUCAGGGGAUGAGCUGACCAGAGUCGCUGGGUAUUAGGAUUACAGGCAUGGGCCACCACCUCUGCUUCCACCCUAAGAUCUUAGCGGACCUGGUCCUUUAAGAGAUGGCACCCACAUUAGAGAAGAAGGGCGCACGAUUCUGAAAAUAAGACUGCUUCUUCAGGAUUCCUGUGUAUCCUGAAGACCAGCUGAGACAGCCAGCCUCAAACCUCAUAGACUGAACAGCUAUUGGAUUCUGAGACCUUACACUGGUAGACAGACAUUGUUAACUUAUCUGGACCAGACCACAGCCUCCUGUCCUGGAACUCACAGAGACCCGCCUGCCUCUGCCUCCUGAGUGCUGGGAUUAAAGGCGUGCGCCACCAAUGCCCGGCUGUCUGAUGAUAAAUGCAAUGCUUGAGAAUCACGGUCAAGCGGAGCGCAGUCUGCUGGCCUAAUGCACCUCCAAGCAGGAAGGGGAGACAGGAUAGGACCACCGAGGGGUCACCCUCCCAAGCCUCCGUGUUGCACUGGGAUACUAGCCGCUGUCACGCAGCUUUUGUCAGGGCAGGAACACAGCAAGGUGUCUGGAGGCUGGGGCCAUCGAGGGACACUCUGUACAAGCUGUUCCACUCAGGGUGUCUGGAGGCUGGGGCCAGCAAGGGACACUCUGUACAAGCUGUUCCGCUCAGGGUGUCUGGAGGCUGGGGCCAGCGAGGGACACUCUGUACAAGCAUGGACACUGUAUCUGAGCCAGAUCUGCAGGUGGUGACAGCCUGGCUUCGGGCCUUCUUUACAGGCGUGCCCUAGGAGCCCACUGGCUCCUGUAUGCAUCUCAGUCUUCCCAGGGGCUCCGUAGAGCACGGAGCACUUGGCCAUCUUAGGCUUGAUGCAGUAGGUCUGUCCUUCUGCCCCAGGACCCCACUUGGAGCACUGGGGAAUUGCUACUGGGUGCUGCAGGCCAGCACUGAUUGGAUUGGAUCUGAACAAUCCCUAAAGGCAACGUGAAAGAAAUAACCCUCUCUCCUCUCCUAUCCCGUGGCUGGAGAGGCAGGCACUAUGUGGAGUCGGGAGAAGCCUGAAGAGCCCGUGAGCUGGUACAAGCUGAGCAGUGGUCCCGGGGAGCCCUUCUGGGUGAUGGAAGACAGGCCAUCCACACAGGUUGUGAGGCAGUGGUGCCUCUUCAGAUUCGGGAGAUUCACAGACACUCUGGCUGCCUGGGUAGAUACAUGAAGAUCACCGGUGCCAGUUUCAGUACAAGGCCAGAGUGGGGGACAAAAUCACAAGCUCUCAACUCUGUCCUUUUUCAAGAGAAAAAGCCUGCAUUUCUAUAGCAGAGUGACUUCAUUGUGGCCUAAGAACCCGAGCCUGUCAGGACAGGUAGUCUCUGUGAGGCUCCUCACUGUCCUCACAGCAGUCCCUUUGUGGGGCAGGAGAGAUGGUGGCCUCCUGCCAGUCUCCUGGAUACUUGAGGACACCAGUAGUCCAUCAUGACGUUCCCAAGCCUUGGUUUGGGGAUAUCAGGUCACCUGAAGACGGGUGGGUGGGAAGGGGACUAACGGGACUUUGUACAUGAGUGUCCUCCACUCCUGUUUCCGCCUUCUUCAUUCAGAGGCAUCCAGAGCUCUAGGGUGGGGCCAUCAGGUGACUCUCAGAUGCAAGUCAUAUUCAGGGGCUUGGUAGGACAAGUGAAGAGCAGCAUCAUUUUAAAUGCUAGAAAAUGUACUGAAUGAAUGAAUGAACGAACGAACGAACGAACGAACGAACAAACAAACAAACAAACAAAUAAAUAAAUAAAUAAAUAAAUGAAUAAGGGUCUGCAUUGCUCAAGCUGGCCUUAGACCUGCUAUGGCUCUCCUCGGUAAGUCUUUGAAGCAACUGGUUGGGGCUACAGGUGCAUCUCACACUUGACUGUGAUCCUACUUAACUGCCAUUCCUGUUCAGUUAAACUCAUCAGAAAACCAGAGCGCAGGGCCUGAAGAAACAGCUCAGAAGUGUGUGCUUCCUGCUUUUCUAGAGGGUUCAGUACCCACACUGUGUGGCUCACUUCCAUGCCCUCUUCUGCCCUCUGAGGGCACCUGAACACACAUGGCACAUACUCAAAUAAAUGCACACACACACACACA